GCAUAUCAAUAAGCGGAGGAAAAGAAACCCAACAGGGAUUGCCCCCAGUAACGGCGAGUGAAGCGGCAACAGCUCAAAUUUGAAAUCUGGCGCAAGCCCGAGUUGUAAUUUGCAGAGGAUGUUUCGGGUGAGGCCGCGGUCCAAGUCCCUUGGAACAGGACGUCAUAGAGGGUGAGAACCCCGUACCUGGCCGCCGGCUGCCCCCGCUGUGAAACUCCUUCGACGAGUCGAGUUGUUUGGGAAUGCAGCUCUAAAUUGGUGGUAAAUUCCAUCUAAAGCUAAAUACCGGCCAGAGACCGAUAGCGCACAAGUAGAGUGAUCGAAAGAUGAAAAGCACUUUGAAAAGAGAGUUAAAAAGUACGUGAAAUUGUUGAAAGGGAAGCGCUUGCGGCCAGACUUGCCCGCGGUUGCUCAGCCCGCCCUCUGGCGGGUGCACUCUUCCGCGGUCAGGCCAGCAUCGGUUUGGGCGGUCGGACAAAGGCGCCGGGAACGUGGCCUCCCCUCGGGGAGGUGUUAUAGCCCGGUGCGCAAUGCGGCCAGCCCGGACCGAGGUUCGCGCUCUGCUAGGAUGCUGGCGUAAUGGCCGUAAGCGGCCCGUCUUGAAACACGGACCAAGGAGUCUAACAUCUAUGCGAGUGUUUGGGUGUCAAACCCGUGCGCGUAAUGAAAGUGAACGGAGGUGGGAACCGCAAGGUGCACCAUCGACCGAUCCCGAUGUCUUCGGAAGGAUUUGAGUAAGAGCAUAGCUGUUGGGACCCGAAAGAUGGUGAACUAUGCGUGAAUAGGGUGAAGCCAGAGGAAACUCUGGUGGAGGCUCCGCAGCGGUUUCUGACGUGCAAAUCGAUCGUCAAAUUUGCGUAUAGGGGGCGAAAAGAACUAAUCGAACAUUAGUAGCUGGUCUGCGAG
rnacentral:rRNA from 1 species